rnacentral:miRNA from 1 species
CCAUGUGGGGGAGUUGAGGACUUGGGAGCAUGGAUGAUUGCUUACCUGGUCUCUGACCUGGAUCCUCAG